CCGCGAUAAGGGGACCCCGAGUGCCAGCACCUAGUGCUGGCUGUCCAGCUGUCCAAAUAACAGUUGUUACCAAGGGCCGGGCAAGACCGGUGCCAGCCGCCGCGGUAACACCGGCGGCCCGAGUGGUAGCCGUUAUUAUUGGGUUUAAAGGGUCCGUAGCCGGCCUAUUAAGUCUCUUGGGAAAUCUGGCGACUCAAUCGUCAGUCGUCCAAGAGGUACUGGUAGGCUUGGGACCGGGAGAGGUGGGAGGUACUCCAGGGGUAGGGGUGAAAUCUCGUAAUCCUUGGGGGACCACCGAUGGCGAAGGCAUCCCACCAGAACGGGCCCGACGGUGAGGGACGAAAGCUGGGGGCACGAACCGGAUUAGAUACCCGGGUAGUCCCAGCCGUAAACGAUGCUCGCUAGGUGUCAGGUGCGGUGCGACCGCAUCUGGUGCCGCAGUGAAAACUUGAAGCGAGUCACCUGGGAAGUACGGUCGCAAGGCUGAAACUUAAAGGAAUUGGCGGGGGAGCAC
rnacentral:rRNA from 1 species